rnacentral:rRNA from 1 species
UACGGGGGGAGCAAGCGUUGUUCGGAUUUACUGGGCGUAAAGGGCGCGUAGGCGGCGCAACAAGUCACUUGUGAAAUCUCCGGGCUUAACCCGGAGCGGUCAAGUGAUACUGUCGUGCUAGAGUGCGGAAGGGGCUACUGGAAUUCUCGGUGUAGCGGUGAAAUGCGUAGAUAUCGAGAGGAACACCUGCGGCGAAGGCGGGUAGCUGGGCCGACACUGACGCUGAUGCGCGAAAGCCAGGGGACGCGGAACGGG